AUGGUCCCGGGCCCCAACUGUGUGAUGCUUCCAGCCAGUGGCCAUGCAGGGUCCAUACCCCCUGGCUACUUCAUCCACCCUGACACUGGGAAGGUGCUGCCUGAGGCUGGCAAUCUGGGGUACGAUCUGCAGGGAACUAACCUGGUGCCCACCACUGACUUCAGUUCUGGCAGCAUCCGAACAUCAGAAGCGGCCAUCCUCCCCUACGUGCCCUACCCAACCUGUCCUGCCACAGGCUGCCCUCCUGCCACCCGCUUGCCCAUCCUGCAGCCGAGAAGGACAUCACAGCUGGGGGCUCUCAUGACAGACCCCGCAACCGGCAUUGAGGUGCCUGUGCUGGCUGUGACUCUACAUCCUCAAACAAGGCAGUGGCUCACUCUUGGGGGCACAUACUGCAAUCCUCUCACCAAGACUGUGGCCCCUCUAGAGUUGGGGGGCCCCAUGGAGGAUCCAGUCACAGGAAGCAUCUCACCGAUCCUGGGAGUCGGGUUGGAUGAAAACACAGGUCAGGUGCUUGCACUGGGUGGGCUGCGAGAUGCCUUGGGGAACCUUAUGCUUCCUGGUGACAGCUUUGAGGAGCCGCUGAGCCAGAAGACAGUCCGGCUGCAGGGAGCUUCUCAACAGGAGGGCCGGACAGUGCCCCACAUGGGAGGAUCACAGGCCCUUCUGGAUGCCAACGUGCUGCUGGCCCAGAAGAGAGUGAUCUCCAUGCUCCGGAACUGCCAGGAGAGGCCGGGGUCAAGGACACAGGGGCUUCUGGAAGUUGCCAUCAAGGACAUGAGACAGGCACUGGCCUUGAGUCUACACCAUGUCCUUCAGCAGUCUCGGAGACUGGAGCGGCAGCUGGGGACGGCAGAGGGCAUCGCGGCCAGCGGUGGGAGAAUAGGAAUGAUGUGCUAUCCUGGGACCGAGCUGUGGGUCCCAGUCCUGUAUGGGAUGGAGAUUCCAGACCCUGAGGGCUCAGGGCUCAUGGUGCCCAUCCUGGGCAUGGAGACUGAUGGGGAUUCUGGUGACGCCACACCCCUGGCAGGUUCAAUGGAGGAUGCUGACGGCAAAGGUCUUGUCCCAAUCUCAAUUGGGGCUCAAGCCAUAGACCCCUUGACUGGGGAACCUGGUCCUGUCAUCGGUGCCCGGACAGAUCCCUGUGUUGGAGUGGUGGUGCCCAUUGUCCAAGUACUGGAGGCCCUACCUCGGGGAGUGAGAAACCUUGAUCUGCUGAGGGCCGCUGAGGAGGCCCGCACAGCCCUGGAGUCCUGCUGCCUGCGGGAGUCCCAGAGGAGAGCCAGAGCCCUGAGCACGCAGAGCAGCCCAGAGUGGGGCCUGCUCUCUCAAGGUGGGACAGCAGCCCCUGGGCCCAGGGCCCAGAGCAGAAAUCUCCUGAGAGUGGGGACAUGUCCAACAGCUGCCCCAUGGGGAGUCCCUCCUUCCCUCCCAGGCUCCCCCAGCCAGGCCCUGGCUCUGAUCUCACAGCUCCAAUAAACUACCCUGUCUUUUCUUCUUCUCCCUGUCCCCAGAGGUGGCUGCUGUCAUGUGAUUCUUUUCUCUGCCCUUUGCAGCAGACAGAGAGGAGUGGGAGCAGGAGGCACAGAUGAUGCUAGCCAUGCAGAAUGUCCUGGAGAGUCUAGGACAGACAGUGGAAAAACUCAGGCAAGCAGUGGGCUGGCUGCGGGGCCAGGAGGAGGAGAUGUGGCUACAGAAGAGCAGGAGUCAGAGCCCCCGGAUCUGGAACCGUUCUAGCAAGGUGAGGAUCAGAGGUUGGUAAGGGACCCCUUGUGAAAUGAGCACAUCCUCUUGUGUAAACACGUGUGAUUCUUCAGGACAAUGUGAUAUUCAGGAAUAGGGCGGCCCAAGGAACAGUGGGUGGGCUGCAAAGGAAGCAGAAGGAGAGAAAGGAGCUUCAUUUUCAACUGGGCAUUUCAUUUCCUGUGCUCUAGGACCACCUAGAGCAUCUCACUGAUGAGUUUCAGGAGGUGGUAAGGAAGAGACAGAGCUUUCUGGAUCAGGCCCUUGGUCACUUGCAGUACCAACGGGAACUGAGCCGCCUCCACCUCUUGCACACCCAGGUACCGUCCAUGCACUUGGCCAAGGAGAUCUGCGUGUCUGAUUUAGUGGGAGCUUCAGAGAGAAGCUCCCAAAGCAGCCGCGUGGGACAGGCUGGGAACCAUGCAUGGAACCAAGUUCUGAUUAUCUUAUCCUAGAUUGUUGCCUCAGGCUCCCCUGAAUGUUUGGAAAAUUACCCUGGAGACAGAUUCUAUGGAAUGAUCACUACUUCUCUCUGGGACCCAGCUGCUGCCUGCCCGCUGUUGAUCCCCUUCCUGAAGAGCCUCACUACAGUGCUGAUGGGAGCUCAGGGCCAUGCCCCAGGCCUGGAGGCCCAGGGGCCGGGAACAGGUGAGGCUGGUCAUUGGCCCAACAGCCCCUUCUGAUGCUAAUGCUGAUGUUUUGAUGAGUUCUAAUACUACAGUUAGGGUUUCUGGCACUACAAGAGUGUGGCCAUGGUAGGUUCUUUAGGAAGAACAUAGAGAAACCAACAUAUUAGUUAUAUAUCUCUGUGUAACUAUGUGAAAAUCCUGUGGCUUAAAACAACAAACAUUUAGGGGUGUCUGGGUGGUUCAGUCGGUUAAGCAUUGCCUUCAGCUCCGGUCAUGAUCCUGAGGUCCUGGGAUCAAGCCCAGAGUUGGGCUCCCUGCUCAGUGGGGAGCCUACUUCUCCUUCUGCCUCCACUGCUCUCCCCACUUGUAUGCUUGCACAUGCGGUCUCUCUCAAGUAAAUAAAUAAAAGUAAAAGGUUUAAAACUACA
rnacentral:lncRNA from 12 species